rnacentral:tmRNA from 1 species
GGGGGUGUAAUGGUUUCGACUAGGGAAUAAAGAACUAGUUGCAUGCGGAGGACGUCGGUUGGCCUCCUAAAAAAACUGACAAACCAGAUAAAUGACAACUCUAAAGUCAUCGCAGGUAACUUCGGCACCCAUGGUGAAGAAGUUUCUUUUGCACAGGCUGCCUAAUCGUAACUGAAUAGGUGACCGCGGCAGUCCGAGGCUGGACCAAGGGCCUGGGAACUGCUGUCAAUUUCUUGGUGUGGACCUAGCCCUGUAGCUCACAGGGGCUAGUAUCCGAGAUACUGGGAGCAGCCUGUCUUUAGUGGUGCACUUUACAUCGGGGCAGGUAAAUUAAAAAGUGCUAAGCAUGUAGUGGCUAUUUUGGCGUUUACUUAGGACGAGAGUUCGAUUCUCUCCACCUCCAUCC